AGUGCAACUCUGUAGAGAGAUCGUAGUUUCGAUCUUAGUUCAUGAGUGCCUCCCGAAGGGCUGUCCAUGUGACCGUCCAAGCUUCGAAGGUCCUCCCGAAGGGCUGUCUGAGUGACCGUUCGAGUUUCGAAGGUCCUCCCGAAGGGCUGUCCGCGACACCGUCAGGGGGGCCGUUCAACCGCCUCCCGGAGGGUUGUCUGAGGAGCAGAUGAGGGUAUACAUCCUCGCGGUUGGGAGGUUGUAAAUCCUAGCUCCGGGGAUCUGCACCGCCGUUCGUCAUCGACUCUACUUCCUGCUGCGCUACGAGUCAGUAACGAAAAAGAUCAAACCAUGUAUGCAGUCUCCAUAGUGGUUCUGGGCUGGUGCAUAGGUUGGAAAUUUUUUGUUUUCUGAUGCGUUCCCCUACACCGAGGCCCCACGAACUCCAGGCUUCGGGCGCCGUUCCCGAACGUCGCCUGCAAGUCCUUUGGCAGGAUAGGAGGAGCCGCGGAUGAGGAGGAAGGAGACCAGCAGCAGCGGGAGAUAUUCUUGUUCGAUUUGGUUCUCAUGGUGGCAUCUUCCCUACAGUCUCCUUUCUUUUUAGUUUCCAACUUUGAUGCUUGGAUUUGUUGUCUUGGCCAGCUGGAGUAGGAGGAGAGGAGACAGGCAGGAUGAGGAAGGAGACAAGCAUGAGGAAGAGAGAUUCUUGGGGGUUUGCUCGCCUUAUGGAACAGGCUCUUCUGCAGGCGUCAGUUGCUUUGGAAUUGUUCAGAAUCGUUUGCUAUCAUGCAUACUAAGUGCGUAAGUACUUUGGGGAAACAUGCUAGGAUUUGGAGUGCCAUGGCUUCCAAUCUGAAAAUUCAGCUGUGAAUGGUUUUCAACAAGAAACUUAUUGAUCACAAAGAGAGUUAUGGAGAUCAGGACUAGAAGUUUUAUUAGUUUAUGCUCCGGGAGGAAUAGCAGCUGCGGACAAUUAGAUGAUUGCCAUGGAGGCUUGCAGAACCAGUGGUUACCUUGGCUGUGGCCUGCGAGGGGUGUGGUUUGCUGAAAAAAUAGGCUUUUUUGGUAGCUCCAGGUAUACGGGUAUUACAUUUGAAAUGAAGCUUUUGAUGUCGUUUUUUUUUUCACAUCUGAAUCAUUCUGAAUGUAUCCAAGUCUAUUCUCUACAAGUCAGAUUCUUGGUUCCUCUAAAUUUGCCUUAUUUGAAACACACAAAAUCAAUAGCGUAGAUAAAUAAAAUAUUCCAGGUAAGUUUCCAUUCAUAGGAUCAUCAGCUCCAUUCUCUUUGGUCGUAAUGCUAGGCUGCAGGUUGAUAUCUUAAUUGGUGCCAGCUGGGUUCUUUCGAUUAUUUCUUAAGUUCUCUAUACUGAAGCAGCUAAGAUGGCAAGGCAUUUCGUUGAAGCUCUCAUCUUGAUAAUAGUUAUAUGAUGUCUACUAUAUAUUUUGAUUAGGUUUGUCAUGGAAGUACUCUCUAUUCUCUAACUUGCUCAGACGAUGCAAAUAUAAGUUUCUUAAGUGAAGUCAAGUUUGCUUAGUGAUAUGCAUAUCUUUGUCACUGAGGAUCAGUCUAAAAAAAAUAAAAGAGUGAAGAUCAGUUUCAGUCAGUAACAAAUAGCGUGAAAUCAUACAUGGCAAAUUAACAAGCGAUACAUUGUGUCGUGGCCCAGUUCUACUAUUCAUUACCAAUUGCACUGUUUUUUCAACAAUCAAAGCUCAUAUUUUACAUAAAAAAUGGUUAUAUAUUCCUGUCAAUCCUGCAUAGAUGCACUUCUAUUCUGAUAAAUAGGCCAUCCGCUUUAAAAGUAAGAUUUCCUUGGUAGCUUCACUUCAGUUGUAUCUCCAUACAUACAUGAGUGUUUCUUCCUUCCAUUUACAUGAGAGAAAAAUAAGGCAUGUCAUGUUAAAUCUUUGAUACAUUGUACGUGUUAACUGAAAGAGCAAUUCCAGAUGUGUAUUUCCGGCCCUUUGUGUGAUUGUUCUAUUGUGAGGCUGCACCUCUUCUGUUAUCUUACGCGUGAUGUACUUGGUCAUGUGACAGCUCUUAGUUUUUUGAAUAUAGCGUCUGUCUACCAGUUGUUUCAUGUUCCUGGUUGUUUCUUUUGAUAAUUUUGUGAAUUCUUCCGAUAUUGGUUGUCCCUUAAUAUAGCACGCUUCUAAAUGCCAGUCGUUUGAUAUUUAAUUAAGUAAGGAAUUGUCAGGCUACUUGGAAGGAGUUCGUGUCAUGUCUAACCAAGUUCAGCAAGUUGCUGGAGCUGCGCUAGACCCUGCUGUUUCAAUGAACACGUAUAACCUUAAAAAGACUCUUACAGAGGUUUAUGAUGCUAUAGCAAAACUGCAGCAACUUACUGAUGCAGUCUGUCUCUCCUUACAAAAGUAAGGCACAUAUCCAUAUUAUGUUGAGUCCAGUUCAACACAAAAUGGAUAUUCUGCUGAUGAUAUGGAUGGUGAGUACAACAACUACUAUUAGAUGAGCCCUGCCGACGUGCACCCGCCAUAGGGGCUAAUAGUGCUUAGACGGUGUGGCGUACCUUGCCUUCCUCUAUCAUGAUCAAUGUUGCUAUCAACACAGAUUGCAAUCAAUGAUGAAUAAAUAUAUGCUGUACUUGCUUAAGCCACUUUUUAUGUUGCGUAUUCUAUUUGAAUCUGCUAUGUAAUAACCAGUUAAACUUCCAUCAACAGUUUUUCUAAAUCAGUAUGUGUCUGUGCGCUUGUUAUUAAUUCGAGUUUCUUAUACUUUGUGCUAAUGUCCUGGCAAUCAAGGGAUUGGAAAGUUCGGUUCCACAGGUGGCUUCUCACCAAACCAGGUUGCCGUAGACACCAUCGGCUUCAAUCUCGUGGACGGCGAGGUAAAUUUCUCCUAACACCUAUUCAUCUUUGGUCAAAUGCUGCCACCGAGCUAUUUAGGCAAUAGCCAUAUUAAUGUUUCUUUCGAUCCAUUCACUGUAUUUCUAUCAUUUCAAAACUAUUACCUGUAUGUGUGUGAAAAGAAAUCAGAUAUACAUGGCUUAAGAUGGAGGCUUGCACACUCAGGUAGGUGGUCAAAGCCCUCUUCUAUUGUUGUGGUACUGGUGAUCUUGCACGGAGUAGCAGCCUGGAGAGGCGGCCGGCGGUGCACUUGUGAAGCAACAAUAAACACGUCUCAUGCCAACACACCAAGAUGAGCUUCACCCAAUCCCUCUCUCUGUAUAUAUGCAAGCUUGUGUCAUGUGCUCUGCUUCCUCCUCCCUUUUUUUUAAUUAAUGGAUCUCUCACUGAGCAGAGCAUGUUCUUUAGGUUGGCAGCAUAAAUGAUAUAGCUAAGUUAUCUUCACCAAAGACAGGUUCAUCCUAUUGCUUGCCUCAGUAUUCCAUAGAUUAUCUGCCAUGUAUGCCUAUUGCUUUCCUAACUUGGUAAGUUCCUCAAAUUUUGGUAUGUGCAUUUGGGCCUUUCCACCCUUCUUGUUCAAGAAAACAGGAUCCUGAUGAAUGUAAUGAUGUUGGACAAAGGGAGAUUUCUCAUGAUUGGGAGAGACUUGCUGAUUCAUUUUGACCACAGUACCAGAACCCAUGUUGGUACAACACCACGCUGUAGUUUUGUUGCUUAGUAGAAAGUCACUUACUUAUUUAAAUGAUGAGAAGUCAAUCACUUAGUCGCUGCAGAUGUUAACUUAUGAUAGGAAAAUACUUGUUGCUAGAUAAUACUAGAAAUAGGAACUACAAUAUGACUAGCAUUCUAGCUGACAAUACAGCAUAAGUCCUGGUGAACUUUCCCUGACAUGCCUUUGGUUCCUACACGCUGUUGCAUUUGUCUGACAGUGUCAUGCCUCUGGACGCAGGUGAAUGCAGUUGCCUCUUGAAGAUCGAGGAGGCCGUCCAUCGACAACCUACCCAAGGUCCGGAUUCACCAAGGAGUACAACAGGAGAAGCUGUCGGCUGCCUGCAGGUCUGGAAACCACACAAUAUCUCUGAAACCCAUUAUCCCCUAAUGCAUGAAUCUCUAUGCUCAGUUGGGCUACAGCUAAUUUAUCAUUGUUUCAUCUUAUUCUAUAAUGUAGACAUCCUGUUUUUUCAACAAGAGAAAUAAUAUUAAGAAAUUUUGCUCAUUUUGUUGUAGCAAUAGCGGCUGUAUGAACAACAGUACUGUGUUUUGGCUGUUUGUUCUUGUGCCUUCUGGCCAUGUGCGCUUUACUGCUUUGUUCCAAAAAAGCCUAGAAUGUUUGUUCUGCUGGUACUACUCUUUGGCUAGGACAUUUUUCUUCGAAUAACAUAAAUGAACCUAAAAUUGCUUAAUAUGUUAUAUCACAUUUUGUAUUGAUGUC